rnacentral:lncRNA from 1 species
UCAGUGCUAGGAACCUGCGCCCGGCUGAGCUGAGCGAGGCGAGAGGAGAAAGCGAGGCCCGGGGACGGGACUGAGAGCUCUGAAAGGAGGGAGGCGGCUCCCGAGUACUCCGCGCGGGGCAGGCCCCGGCCUCGCCUCUUCGCCCAUUUUUAAGGCUCGAGUUAGAGGCCACCUCCUCCGAGAAGCCUUCGGUGACACCACCUCUCCCAGACGGUUCCCCUUUCUGAUUCCCACAGCAUUUUCCAACCAUUCACGGGACCGCCACCAUCACAGGCACUCGGUAGAUGUCUGCUGAAUGAGGAUAACUUCUACCCAACACCGUGAAGCCUGGCCCAGGGUCUGGCAUACAGAUGCCGUGUUUGUAAGACCUCAUUGGUGACAACUUGACUGUGCUGCCCAGAGCUGAUAAGAAACAUCACCCGGGGAAGACCAGCUGCCUCUUCCUUGCUUCCUAAUCAGGGUGGAAAUACUGCUAAAUAUAUCACAACUCUUUGCAAGCAUCGUUGGGUAAUGAUCGGGACAUCUUUGUGGGUUCCCUAUCAUUUUCUCACAAAGUUGAGCCUUUCAAGGUCAGUUCUAGGCCAGCCAGUCUGGGAGUCAUUCUUUAGAAUCAGAAGAGAAUUUAAGAAGAGGAGAAGAUAAGAUUGUCUCUAAAACCUGCUAAUGAGAACUACAGGAAGGUGGGGAUGCUAGCUACUUUUAAUAUUUCUGGUUUGAACCCCUUCCUCCACCCCAGAAUGAACUGAGAGUAGGUACAGAAAUAGAUAAUGCAAAGACGGUUAGGGUUGAGGGUAAGCAGAAAACUACCCAUCUAGACCGAAGGAAGGCUUGCUAACAUAUCAGUAAGCAAACAGCUUUCUAAUCUGCAGGUAACAAGUUUUACAUCCCUGAGGACACUUUUUGAGAUAGGACUUUGUUUGUUUGUUUGUUUGUUGUUUUUUGUUUUUUUGAGACAGAGUCUCGCUCUGUCUCCCAGGCUGGAGUGCAGUGGCAUGGUCUCGGCUCACUGCAACCUUCACCUCCCAGGAUCAAACGAUUCUCCUGCCUCAGCCUCCUGAAUAGCUGGGAUUACAGGUGCAUGCCACCAUGUCCAGCUAUUUUUGUGUGUGUGUGUGUGUGUGUGUGUGUGUGUGUAUUUUUAGUAGAGAUGGGGUUUCAUCAUGUUGGUCAGGCUGGUCUGAAACUCCUGACCUCGUGAUCUGCCCUCCUCAGCCUCCCAAAGUGCUGGGAUUAUAGGCGUGAGCCACCGGGCCCAGCCUGGGGCUUUUUGAGACCCUAUUGAAGGCUGAGGAAGAAUCUGGAAGCUAAAGAGUAACCCAUUCCACCACCUGCUCUGAAGAUAGAAGAAGCAAAAAAAGAUUAAAUUGUACAAAAAGCACUUAAAUUAGACAACAGAAGAAUUUCCUGAUACAAAGUGGGUGUCUAAGAUGUGUUAAACAAGAUGCCUGCUCCAGCCAGGACUCAGACACUCCUGGAUGGAGAGCAUCUUCACAGUUUGGGAUAAAAGUGACUAUACAGAGUGGUGGAGUGAAGGCUGCAGGCCCCUCCCCAAGGUGGCAUCUAACCCCGGAGGUAUCAGGACCUCAGAGGCUACCCACAUGAUUUCCAGCUGAUGAGCAGAAAUAGCUGUGGCAGGUGCAGGCUUCACUUGCUGCCACCAACAUGGGAGCUCACCAAACACCCAGUGGCCAAAAGAACCAGGGUCUCUCUAAGCCCUGGGCUCACCGCCAGGCAAGCUUGGGUGCUUGGGAGGGCCGUCGUUCUUCACAGUGCAGCCCCUGGAUUUCUUCUCAAUUUACUCAACUCUCUCUCUUGAAUCCCAUCUGUGCAGCUUAGAAGUCACAAAUUAGAACCCCCCAAGGCAAAGCUGACCAUAGAUACAAAUGGUUUUGUCUGUAUAGUGUUUAAGCACUUAAAAAAUUCAUUGUGAACAUUUAAUAAUUAGAAAGUGUCAAAAUGAAAAUAUCUAUAGUUUCUCUCUAAAAACCAGAAGAUCUGUUAACACUGAUCCCACACUUCUAUUUGGCAAUGACUGGCCCCUAAGACAGGGGGUAUGUCCUCUAGCUCACCACAGUCUCCACCUUUACCUACUGCAUCCCUGCUGAGACAAAGUGGUACAUGCCAUUUAUUAAGGAUGAAUGCUGUUUUUUUUAAUUAUACUUAAUCCUCAUUUGCAUUACCUGCCUUCAUUCUGGAGGUAUUUGAGUUUGCAUCUCCUGAUAAAGAAUAAA